CGUAGGGUGCGAGCGUUGUCCGGAAUUAUUGGGCGUAAAGAGCUCGUAGGCGGUGUGUUACGUCGGCCGUGAAAACCUGCAGCUUAACUGUGGGCGUGCGGUCGAUACGGGCAUCACUGGAGUUCGGCAGGGGAGACUGGAAUUCCUGGUGUAGCGGUGAAAUGCGCAGAUAUCAGGAGGAACACCGGUGGCGAAGGCGGGUCACUGGACUGGUACUGACGCUGAGGCGCGAAAGCGUGGGGAGCAAACAGG
rnacentral:rRNA from 1 species